rnacentral:rRNA from 1 species
CAGUCGCCGCGGGAAUACAGAGGGUGCGAGCGUUAAUCGGAUUUACUGGGCGUAAAGCGUGCGUAGGCGGCUUUUUAAGUCGGAUGUGAAAUCCCUGAGCUUAACUUAGGAAUUGCAUUCGAUACUGGGAAGCUAGAGUAUGGGAGAGGAUGGUAGAAUUCCAGGUGUAGCGGUGAAAUGCGUAGAGAUCUGGAGGAAUACCGAUGGCGAAGGCAGCCAUCAGGCCUAAUACUGACGCUGAGGUACGAAAGCAUGGGGAGCAAACAGGAUUAGAUACCCGAGUAGUCCCUGUCUCUUAUAA